rnacentral:rRNA from 1 species
UACGAAGGGGGCUAGCGUUGCUCGGAAUCACUGGGCGUAAAGCGCACGUAGGCGGCUUUCUAAGUCAGGGGUGAAAUCCUGGAGCUCAACUCCAGAACUGCCUUUGAUACUGGAGAGCUUGAGUCCGGGAGAGGUGAGUGGAACUCCGAGUGUAGAGGUGAAAUUCGUAGAUAUUCGGAAGAAACACCAGUGGCGAAGGCGGCUCACUGGCCCGGUACUGACGCUGAUGUGCGAAAAGCGUGGGGGAGCAAACAGGG